UCGAACGGCAGCACAGGGAGCUUGCUCCCGGGUGGCGAGUGGCGCACGGGUGAGUAAUACAUCGGAACGUGUCCUGUUGUGGGGGAUAACUGCUCGAAAGGGUGGCUAAUACCGCAUGAGACCUGAGGGUGAAAGCGGGGGAUCGCAAGACCUCGCGCAAUUGGAGCGGCCGAUGCCCGAUUAGCUAGUUGGUGAGGUAAAGGCUCACCAAGGCGACGAUCGGUAGCUGGUCUGAGAGGACGACCAGCCACACUGGGACUGAGACACGGCCCAGACUCCUACGGGAGGCAGCAGUGGGGAAUUUUGGACAAUGGGGGCAACCCUGAUCCAGCCAUGCCGCGUGCAGGAUGAAGGCCUUCGGGUUGUAAACUGCUUUUGUCAGGGACGAAAAGGACCGUGUUAAUACCAUGGUCUGCUGACGGUACCUGAAGAAUAAGCACCGGCUAACUACGUGCCAGCAGCCGCGGUAAUACGUAGGGUGCAAGCGUUAAUCGGAAUUACUGGGCGUAAAGCGUGCGCAGGCGGUUCUGUAAGACAGAUGUGAAAUCCCCGGGCUUAACCUGGGAAUUGCAUUUGUGACUGCAGGACUAGAGUUCGUCAGAGGGGGGUGGAAUUCCAAGUGUAGCAGUGAAAUGCGUAGAUAUUUGGAAGAACACCAAUGGCGAAGGCAGCCCCCUGGGAUGCGACUGACGCUCAUGCACGAAAGCGUGAGGAGCAAACAGGAUUAGAUACCCUGGUAGUCCACGCCCUAAACGAUGUCUAC
rnacentral:rRNA from 1 species